UACCUUAAACGCCAACGUACGUUAACCGAACGUUAAACGAAUCUCACCGAUGAGUUACGAUGUUUGAAUGUUUACUUUUAAAAUCAUAGAUGUAUGUUUAAAAUAAAUUCCUCAUAACCUUAAAAAUAAUCUAGUAGAAGUAGUUUGUAGAAGAUACUCCGAUUCUCUUGUAUAAAAAUGUCGAAAAGCAGAUUCCGUUUCAAUGAUGAAUUUGAUUUGCAUUUAGCAAGGGAGGUAUAUGGCCACAAUCCAUAUGAGGAUCCCAAAAGGUGGAUGGUAAUUCAAAUAAAUAUGAUCCAAAUAACGGGAAAAAGCAUAAGUAUAAGGACUCUGAGAGAUAGGAUUCAGAAUUUGGUGAAGAAAUAUCAAUUAAAAUCAGAAUCCUUGAAAGGAAAGUCAGGAAUUGAAAUUCCUGUGUCUGAACUGGAUGAUUUGCUUCAUCAAAUUGAGUGCAUGAAAAAAAAAUUUGUACAACCACUACUGUGAACACAACUACUGUUGAUGACAAAUUAUGCUAUCAAGAGGGUUUGGUGGCCAGAGAAAAGGCAUGUGCAAAUUUAUUGCAGGACUGUGAAAAUGGCAGUGAUAUAUCACAGGGAAAUGUUCUCCCUGUAGAGGAUUUUGAUUAUAACAAUAAUCAAGAGAAUAUAGUUGUGAACAGCUAUGUAGAUAUUGAACCUGACUUUGGAGCAGACGUCGCUAUGAGAGAGAUUGAGGAGGAAAAUAUUUCAUCCCCAAAUAUAAAAGAGCCCACCGAAAAAAAUUGUAGAAAAACACCUUUGGCUCAAAGUAAUAUAAUGGCACCAAAGCGGACAAGAAAUAACCCUAAUUUGAAACAAACCAUAGUCAGGUAUUUGG